CCGGGACCCGGACCGGCACCGAGACCGGCACCGGCACCGUCCGGCUGUGCGACGGGCGGGCACUCAGCGCUGGGGCCGGGCAGGAUCCGCCUCGCCCGGUCUCCUGCCCGUCUCGGCGCCGUUCCCAAGCCGGCAGAAGGUCGCGGCGGUGUCACCGGCCGGCGGACAGCGCUGGGGGUGAAGCUCAGGGCUCCUGAGGCCCCCGCCCGCUUUCCGCAGCGAUGCUGGUGCGAACGCGAGGGUGGUGGCUCGGCGGAGCGUGGCGAUGUCGCUCCCCCUGCGGGCUGGAGCUUUAAUCCUGGUUACAGCGGCAGGGAAUGGAGCACUCACCCCGGGAGCAGGAACAAAGGGCAGGCUGUUGGUUACCGCUUCCGAAAUGCCAACAACCCCGGACGGGGAGGCAGGGACAUUAUUCCUUUCUGGUACACAGGGCUCACCAUCACCUCUCACGGCCCUGCUGGCUCCCAGUGGGAUGGCCGGAGCUCCAGAGCGAGACAGCAUUUAUCCAGAAAAAGCAGUAGGAAUAUUAACAGCAGCAGAGCAACAUGGUGCAAGAGAAGUCUACUGGAAGGAAACUGCUGUCAUAAGGUUGUGGAAGAUAACACCUACAGAUGGAGAGGAAUAUCCUUUGUGCUCUCUACUCUCAACUAGGAUGUGACCAGUACCCUGGCUACUCCCUUCUGACUCUGACUAGCUAUGUCCCACCAGUUAGCAUCAAACUCUGGUAAAUGAUCCGGUACUAGUGCUUUGAAAAUCCAUUUGUAGUUAAUAAAAGUAAAUUUUG
rnacentral:lncRNA from 1 species